rnacentral:rRNA from 1 species
CCUACGGGAGGCAGCAGUGAGGAAUAUUGGUCAAUGGGCUUACGCCUGAACCAGCCAAGUCGCGUGAGGGAAGACUGCCCUAUGGGUUGUAAACCUCUUUUGUCAGGGAGCAACGCCGGCUACGUGUAGCCGGACUGAGAGUACCUGAAGAAAAAGCAUCGGCUAACUCCGUGCCAGCAGCCGCGGUAAUACGGAGGAUGCGAGCUUUCUCCGGGUUUAUUGGGUUUAAAGGGUGCGUAGGCGGAAUGCCAAGUCAGCGGUAAAAUCGCGGGGCUCAACCUCGCUCCGCCGUUGAAACUGGCGGUCUGGAGUGGGCGAGAAGUAGGCGGAAUGCGUGGUGUAGCGGUGAAAUGCAUAGAUAUCACGCAGAACUCCGAUUGCGAAGGCAGCAUACCGGGGCCCAACUGACGCUGAAGCACGAAAGCGUGGGUAUCGAACAGGAUUAGAUACCCGAGUAGUC